UAACGGCGAGUGAAGCGGCAACAGCUCAAAUUUGAAAUCUGGCUCUCGGGCCCGAGUUGUAAUUUGUAGAGGAUGUUUCUGGCGACGUGUCUUCCGAGUUCCCUGGAACGGGACGCCAUAGAGGGUGAGAGCCCCGUCCGGUCGUACGCCUAGCCUCUGUGAAACUCCUUCGACGAGUCGAGUAGUUUGGGAAUGCUGCUCAAAAUGGGAGGUAUACGUCUUCUAAAGCUAAAUACCGGCCAGAGACCGAUAGCGCACAAGUAGAGUGAUCGAAAGAUGAAAAGCACUUUGAAAAGAGGGUUAAAUAGUACGUGAAAUUGCUGAAAGGGAAGCGCUCAUGACCAGACUUGGGCUCGGCGAAUCAUCCGGCGUUCUCGCCGGUGCACUUUACCGGCCCAGGCCAGCAUCAGCUCGCCCCGGGGGAUAAAGGCUUCGGGAAUGUAGCUCCCUCGUGGAGUGUUAUAGACCGUUGCGUAAUACCCUGGGGUGGGCUGAGGUACGCGUCUGCAA
rnacentral:rRNA from 1 species